rnacentral:rRNA from 1 species
AUGGGGUCUCACUUUGUCGACGGUAGCUCGGAAGGCAGGGAAGGCUGGAAGGAUGUGGAGCGCCGCUUCGACGAGAUGAACAAGGCCGGGCGCAUCCCAAAGGAGAGCUUCGGCAAGUGCAUCGGCUAUUAUAUUGAGCGCGUCGGCGAACAAGCUGAAGAUCGACGCCGCCGCCUACGCGCCACUGGUCAUGGAAGAGCUCGACCCCGACCACCGUGGCUACAUCGAGAUGUCGCAGCUGGAGACGCUGUUGCGUGGGGCGGUGAGCGCGCGGGCGCCGGAGGACGAGGUGCAGUUGGAGAGGAGGUCACGGCUGGUCCGGUCGAUGACGGCCUGCGGGAACUGGAUGCACCUGAUAGUCCCUGUCCUCUUGUCUGCCUGCCAGGGAAUUAUCAGAAAGGUUCGCUGGAACAAUGA